AAUGUGUUACUAGAUAAUAAUUGUAAAGGUUGAUUCAUUAACAUUAACUGUUAUUCUAUCAACACCUUCAAUGUGGGAUUUAAUUAGCAGGUAUCGUAAUAUUAACACCUAUAUUUAACCAGAAAAAUGUGUGAUAAAUAAUGGAGAGAGGAUUAUUCUAAUAAUUUCUUCAGCAUUUCAUAGGAUAAAACAAAACAAUUAUGUAUAUAAAUUUCAUUUAUUAUAAAAUCAGUUUUUUUUUUCAAUGUGACAAUCUUUAAAAAAAAUAUAGAUCUAGAUAUGAAAAUAUAAAGUAUACAUAGAUCUCUACAACAUGAACAGCUAGUUUGUCUUAAUUCAUAAGUGAAGAGUCUUGAAAAAGUCGUUCCGACUUCAUCUCAGUUUUGUUAUAUUUUCUGGUCCUUUAAAUUUGGGAUCAUUGAUUUCAGCUCAUUUGAAUUUGAACAUUGAAUACCGCUUUAAAAGCCGGUGCUAGGGAGCGCGGGCAGUGUUGCAUUUUCCAUUAAUGCUCAUGAACAGAUUCAAUCAAACCCAGUCUGCAAUUUUCACUGUUUGCAUUGUUCUCGGUGCUUCCGGGGGAUCUACUUUUCAAAUUAUAUUAGACAUUCACAGUAUAAAAAUCAUAAGUCACAGGGAUCACUAUGGAGACGUGUAGUAAGUAUGUGGCAGGUUGGUAAAAUCCAGUUCUGACCGGUUCUGUCCAGAUCCUGGAUGCCCAUCACUAAUCAAAGAGACUGAUUUCCUGUUCCUAUCCCUUUGAUGUACACUAUGCCUCCAGGGACUUAUGUUAUUUGGACACUUGGCAGGUGGAUGCACAUUUUUGUUAUUUGCAUAACAGUAUACCUUAAAGAGAUUAUAUUGUAUAUAAUUUUAUGCCUUUAUUUCUAUCUUGUAGAAUGAGGAGAUGAGAUUAUUUCAUCACCCAACAUUAAUUAACUAAUUAUACCGUGAUUUUAUCAAAAUUUAGAUGCUGAUUUACCAAAUUCAAGAGAGGUAACUCCCAUCACAAUACUACAUACUUCAAGAGAUACUGGUAGAUUUAUUACACACUGCAGUCUAAUAUUUAAAUUUACUUUAUUUGAUUUCAGACUAAAUGUACUUUGAUAUUCCCUUAUUGUAUUCUUAGUUUCCAGAAUGUCGGAGACAUUCCAACAAAGUGAGGGAGUUUGUAGUAAACUCAAGUUUCACUUUAUUUAAACUGAUAAAUGGAUUCACAGUCAUUUAUUUAUAGUCAGGUCGUAUAUCGAUGAUCAGUACUCCGUAUUCCGUUGUAUCAUGUUUGUACUCUGUGUUUCGUUGUAUCAUAUUGUAUCGUACUCCGUGUUUGUAUUAUCAUGUUCAGUCAUGUGUCCACUCGUGCAUUUGAACUUGUUUUGUAGAUAGAAGACGUUUUCAUUGGUCAGUUAUCUUCAUGCACAAAUAACAACUUUUAGCGCGAACUAACAAUUGCACGGCCCUCUAUUCUUCAUUCUUGAGAAUCAUUGUCCGAGUGAACGCAAGUUACUCUAGAACUAUUGUUAUACUGUAGUAAUUUAAUGUCCUUACCUUUGGACAAUUUACUAUGUCAUAAGUGUACCUUUGCUAGUCGAUUCUGGUUUUUCUCUACACGUACUAUACUGGUACUGUCCAAUAAAUUGAAGAAACCUCAAAA
rnacentral:lncRNA from 1 species